AAAAACCUAUCAUGGCAGCAGGCCAUAAGAGAGACCCAGUUUGGGAAUAUUUUAAUGAAGUUCUUCUACCUGUGAGUAAGACAGGUAUGUGUGCAAAAUGCAAAUGGUGCAACAAAGAACUGCAAGGCCUGGUUGCCUGAAUGAAACAUCAUCGUGAGAAGUGCUCCUUUUCAGGAGGAAGCUGUGUUGAAGACGAUGAAAAGAACAUGUCUGAACACGCAGGAUCUUCAGGAGAAUCCAUCCUCAACAUACAGGAUUCUGAAAACUAUCCACUUUCAAGAUCACCAUCCUUUUCUAUAGUUUCAGAGUUAUCUGCUAAUUAUAGUGUUUUAGUCACAUCAUGUAUGUCACAUAGCCACAGUAUAUCACCUGUAGCAAAGAGAAAAAAAAAUCUCCAUCAUCCA